rnacentral:rRNA from 1 species
GGCUCAGAACGAACGUGGCGGGCGUGGAUGAGGCAUGCAAGUCGAGCGUGAAACCCCGCAAGGGGGAGUAAAGCGGCGAAAGGGUGAGUAUUACGUAAUCAACCUGCCCUCGAGACUGGGAUAACCAUGGGAAACUGUGGCUAAUACCGGAUGGCCUGGCGGGGCCGCAUGGGCCCGCCAGUAAAUGAUAGGGAUCCUUCGGGACCUUUUGCUCGAGGAGGGGAUUGCGGCCCAUCAGCUUGUUGGCGGGGUAACGGCCCACCAAGGCGAUGACGGGUAGCCGGCCUGAGAGGGUGGUCGGCCACAUUGGGACUGAGACACUGCCCAGACUCCUACGGGAGGCUGCAGUCGAGGAUCUUCCGCAAUGGGCGCAAGCCUGACGGAGCGACGCCGCGUGGAGGAUGAAGGCCUUCGGGUUGUAAACUCCUGUCACAGAUUAAGAAUUGUUCCGCGUGAACAGCGUGGAGCAUGACGUUAGUUUGAGAGGAAGCACCGGCUAACUCUGUGCCAGCAGCCGCGGUAAUACAGAGGGUGCAAACGUUGUUCGGAAUCACUGGGCAUAAAGCGCACGUAGGCGGCUUAGCAAGUGUGGUGUGAAAGCCCCCGGCCCAACCGGGGAACUGCAUCACAGACUGCUAGGCUAGAGAGCGGUAGGGGAGACUGGAACUCCUGGUGGAGCGGUGAAAUGCGUAGAUAUCAGGAGGAACACCGGUGGUGAAAACGAGUCUCUGGUCCGCUUCUGACGCUCAGGUGCGAAAGCUAGGGGAGCAAACGGGAUUAGAUACCCCGGUAGUCCUAGCCGUAAACGAUGGGCACUAACUAGAGGUGACCCUGCGUCGUCUCUGGUGUAGCAAAUGUGUUAAGUGCCCCGCCUGGGGAGUAUGGUCGCAGGCUG